GCCUAGGGAGCUGCUCUCUGACCUCCAUCAGCACCUGGGUUUUCGAUGCGUUAAGGGGGGUAUAGUUGCGGAAUCUUCCUGGGGGAGAACCCCGUCAAGCCCGAUGAUCCGGACUUCCCUGCCUGUGUACCCGAGGAGGAGUCUGGACAUGCUUGUGCCCGGGAGGAGUUCGAGAAUGUGGCCGAGCUUCUCUCGGCCCUUUUUCAACUGCGGGCUUACUUGAGUCUCCU
rnacentral:lncRNA from 1 species